rnacentral:rRNA from 1 species
AACUUAGCAGAGAUGCUUUGGUGCCUUCGGGAACUCUGAGACAGGUGCCGCAUGGCUGUCGUCAGCUCGUGUUGUGAAAUGUUGGGUUAAGUCCCGNAACGAGCGCAACCCUUAUCCUUUGUUGCCAGCGGUUCGGCCGGGAACUCAAAGGAGACUGCCGGUGAUAAACCGGAGGAAGGUGGGGAUGACGUCAAGUCAUCAUGGCCCUUACGGCCAGGGCUACACACGUGCUACAAUGGCGCAUACAAAGAGAAGCGACCUCGCGAGAGCAAGCGGACCUCAUAAAGUGCGUCGUAGUCCGGAUUGGAGUCUGCAACUCGACUCCAUGAAGUCGGAAUCGCUAGUAAUCGUAGAUCAGAAUGCUACGGUGAAUACGUUCCCGGGCCUUGUACACACCGCCCGUCACACCAUGGGAGUGGGUUGCAAAAGAAGUAGGUAGCUUAACCUUCGGGAGGGCGCUUACCACUUUGUGAUUCAUGACUGGGGUGAAGUCGUAACAAGGUAAGCGUAGCGAG